UGUUCGUUGCAGCUCAUUUUCAAACAAUAAAUAAUACUAAUUAUCGAUAGACACAAACGAAAAAUGUAUAUUUAAUACGCGGGAAAAAUUAACAUAAUAGAAUAAACUAACUAGAUCGAAUAUUAAACAUCGAUCGAUGCUCGCUGACUCGAUACAUCACGAUAUCGCAUAGACUACGAAGCACGACAUGCGCACGCGUACAUCAGCUUGUUCAUUACUCUGAUUCAAUAUGGCGACUUUGCCACUUUUUCUAUCCCUACUCUGGCCAACUGCCUGUCAAUUGUUACUAAAUAGUGUUACAUCUAUCCAAUUCAAUCGAGUAUAUACACCAUUAUAUACACCAUGAAUAUUUAAUACGCGUGCCGAUUGUUGCAAGGGUGACGUGCCUUUUUCCGUUAACCUUGAUAUUCUGAUUCGUUGGCCAACGAGCUUUCUGGACGAUAAUAACAGGGAAAAAUUUUCUGUGAAACAAUUGUAUAAGAACGGAAGAAUAUUUCAUUUUUUGCGGAAAGGAGCUAACGGGAAGAAAAUAAAAGGGAUAACGUCUGUAAAAAUAUUCAAGAGAUCAGAGCAAUCGAUCGAUAAUGACAUCCAGCUGUUUCAUUUCACUUGCAAUUAUGAGAUAGAUGUUUCGCUUGAAUUCGCUCGAAAAAGGAUUAAUUGAAAAGCACCACUCUUCAAGCGGUUCGCAAAGUAACUCGAUAUCGGGCCGAAUUUAUUUUCAUUCGGCUAUUUCGUUUCGAUUCGUUCGAUAUAUUCCCGAAGAAGGCUAGCCACCAAUGGCACGAGAGUGGUAUAUCGCUUCGAUAUAAAGCUCGACCAUUCGAUGUAUUUAACCGCGCAGACGUACUUGAACAUAGUAACAUAUAUAUCGGCAAUUCUUUUACCUCCUCUCGCCGUUUCGCUUUAUGUAUCCCCGCGAAAGUGCACAAGCCGCUUUACUACUCGAAAAGAAGUUCCAGCCAGGAGAAGCAACGGUGGUGGAAUCAGCCCUGUGCAACCGCCACGGGCUCAAUAUCUAAACAGGAAAUUUCCGUGCACGCCAGAAAACGUAGCUAGAAAUGUACGCGAAUCCGGCGAAUGUAAAAUACAUAGUAAAUGUACCGCCAGAGAUGGACCGAGGAAAUUGCAUAUUUAAAUGCGGAUAAAAAGAUCCUAAUCCUCGGAAGAAAGGAUGUCUUCGCUCAGAUAAUAUAAAUAAUCCUUCCGUGAAAUUUGAUGUAAUACAAGUGUUUUAUCAUUCUGGGGCAUUUUAUUAGAUUGUGUAAUCUUCUUUCACGUCUUUUAAUUUUUAAACCAAAUGUAGAAAACUAAACUUCCUAUAACUUUUAAGCUAUUGUAUAAAUUGUACAUUCUAUAAAAAUAUUAAUAAUAAUUUCACUUAAUUUUUUGAUAUGAUGUAACUCUAAUCUAACUUUUUCUCAAAUUCUUAAACUUUUCGUGUGAUAUUUCAAUAAUUUCAAAGACUAUUUUGUAAAUUUUUAAUGUAGAAUAGGAAAUUGAAAAUUCCUACAUUUAGAUAAUUUCAAGCAAUAUUUUCUUUUGGAAAAUCUCUCGAAACAGCUUUGUUAACGUGAUAUUGAUAAAAUUAAUAUAUUUAUUACAAAAAAUACUAGUCAAUCACGAGUUUUAAAGCACUCGAGCCAUGAUGUGGUGGAAUAUGUGCCGUCGGCCGAAUAAGUCCAAACAAUAGUUCUCGAAAAAGUUUGAAGUUGAAUAAUAAAUAUCUUUUUAUGAAAAAAAA
rnacentral:lncRNA from 1 species